UACGAACGGUCCAAACGUUAUUCGGAAUCACUGGGCUUAAAGCGUCCGUAGGCGGUCCGGAAAGCAGGGUGUGAAAUCCCACGGCUCAACCGUGGAAUUGCGCUCUGAACUAUCGGACUAGAGGGAGAUAGAGGUAAGCGGAACUGAUGGUGGAGCGGUGAAAUGCGUUGAUAUCAUCAGGAACACCGGAGGCGAAGGCGGCUUACUGGGUCUUUUCUGACGCUGAGGGACGAAAGCUAGGGGAGCGAACGGG
rnacentral:rRNA from 1 species